rnacentral:lncRNA from 1 species
AUCUUGUGAUCCAAUCCAACCAAAUAUCAUUCCACUGACCGGCUUCCUGCCUAUAAAUAGUGUUGCCUCCCCAGCCGUAUGGGCACUAGAAACCCCUUAAGCUGCUAGUCUCGUCUUCUCUGCUCUUCCUACCUUCCUCUAGCUAUAGCAACACCUUGCCCACAUUCCAUGUCUCCAACGGGUGCUUCCGCUCUCAAGGUUGCGGCUAUCGCCGUCUGCCUCGGGCUGGUUCUAUCGUCCAUGAGGCAGCCAGUGUUCGCGCAAACCCAGUCCCAGCAGCAAGCUUGCACCACAACUUGCGCCAGCGCGUGCAAUAUUGUGGCGAAGGCAGCCUGCCCCGGCUUCUGCGCAGGCAACCCAACUCCCACUAAUCCGCUAGCUUGCAACGCCUGCAACACGACGGCCAAUGCAGAUUGCAACAAUCAGUGCGCCCCAGCCUGCUUCCUCAACCCAGAUCCCAACGCUUAAUGUUCAUCAUCCAUGUUCGUGCUGUUGCUUAAGAGCUAAUGUUUACUGAAUAAUUAAGCAUGCCGACUGGGCUGCAUGUAUGUUGUGUUGCUUUCUAUUCUAUUUCCCUUGCAAAUGAUGUAAAGCCGUCGGCCUACUGGCUGGCUGGACUCAUGUAGAAAAUCGCUCCAUGUGAUUGGUGUUCCUUGGGCUUUGUUGAAUUGAAAUCAUGUUGUUAUGUGUUUCAGUAUUAACUUAUCAGCAUCCAUCUCUGUCAAUCUCGAUCACCAUGUUGUGAAAAAGAAGAUUUCCCUCUGCAAAUCUGUGCACACCACAUAAUAUAUAUAUAUAUAUAUAUAUAUAUAUAUAUAUAUAUAUAUUGUUCAUCUUGUUCUAUUAUUUCAUCUUGUUCAGGUCAAUCCAGUAAACUGUACAGUUUGUUACUAUGUUCAAUCGUGUUAUGUGACUAUCAGAAUUAGAAAACAAGCUUCCGAUCAUAUGGAGACAAUUAAAUAUUCCAAGCGAUACAAGCUGCCACUGAUCCAACCCAGAAAUACCACAUUAGGCUUGGUCAUAUAUAUGGCGAUCGAGGUAGAUGAAAAAACGACCCAAGAUUCGAUCAGUCAUAUAGAUGCAAGCUUGCUACUGCAAGCAUUAAUACGAAACAGACUGAAAACUUAUUUAACGGACACUUGAUCUUGUUUUCUUUUCUUUUCCUUUUUCCCUAUACUAUCCUUUAUUCUGUUCUUUAUUCUUCUUCUAAUACCUCUCUAAGUAUUUUUGUCAUGUAUGUAAUCAAUAUCUUUUAAUAAGUAGCAUUCAUCAUUGUUCUUUUAAACGAGUACAUGAUGUUUGUUUUUUCAAUCCUUUUUUAAUACUCUAUUUCAUUUGGUUUUUCCCACGUUACCUAUCCAAUAUUUCUACUUUUUUCUUUUAUUUGGUAUUUCAUAAUUUCUUGACUUAUCCGCUUAUUUCACUUAUUUAUUUAUCUAUUUAUUUACUUAAUUUUAUUCUUGCCUUACUUUAUAUAUUGAAUGUAUCCCUUUAUUUUUUUAAUGUAUUGUAAUAUUUAAGUUGUUCUAUGUUUAAAAUUUUUCCAGCUGCACAAUUCUACAAUUUUGUUCAAAGUGUAUAAUUUUUUAUUCCAUAAUUUCAUCUAAUUUAAUUAAUUCCUUCUCUACAAAUCUUUGUUUCUUGAGUUCACUAUUUUGUUCCAGGUGUAUAAAUGUAUGUUCUGUGUAUAAAUGUACAUUCUGUAAGUCCAUAUAAUUUGUUUCAAUAUACAAAUCUAUGUUUUAUGAGUUCACAUAUCUGUGUAUAAAUGUACAUUUUGUGAGUCCGUAUAAUUUGUUUCGAUAUACAAAUCUAUGUUUUAUGAGUUCACGUAAAUUGUUCCAUAUGUAUAAAUCUUUAUUCUUCAUAUAAUUCGUUCUUGGAGUACAUACCCUAGUUUUGUGAUAUAUGAAAGAAAAUGGAAAGUUACCGAUCAUCACAGUAUACAAACCGAGAGUACGUCUGAAGCUAAGUCCGCAUGAUCGGUAGAAAUCCUUGAAUGAGGUGUGAUCCCCGAUUCUGUAAAUUUUAGCUUACGGCAUUCAUGAGAAGGUCAGAAGUGCUGCAGUCCUAGUUUGGACUUCUGGAUGCGCACUUCGUUGCAUUAUACGACUACUUCAUCGACGUCGAUCGGAUCGACCACUCACGCUUCAUUAAGACUUCCGCUGCGAUGCGAGACGAGCAAAGGUAUAAUCUAUGAUCAUCUUCUCGCAAGUGAUCUUGUUUACGCAGUUAUAUUUUUGUGUGCUAGCGAGUAGCAUACUAAGUUUUCUAACAGAUACUACCUCAUGAAAGCCGUCCAUUUGAGGCCAAAAGGAUUCGAAAUGGAACCUUCCUUUCCCCAGCAAUAAGUCAUUCAGCCCCAAAAUGAGUACUCCAAUUGGCAUCGGUAGGGCCUAUUCCAAUUCAGAAGUCAAGCAGUCACUACCUGCUCCAUUCUGUUCUCUCGGAUUAGUUACUGCAAUGCAAAAGGAUUCAGCAAAGCGAGACUUGACUUUUUCUUUACUAAUGCACCUUCUAAUUUUGCCAGAAAAAAUUAACGACAGAAGCAAUGGGGAUGUGGCUGAUGACCAAUACCAUUGUUACAAGGUAGGGAUUUUGUUACUCUAGUUCGCUGUGAUACCUUUGAAGAAAUUUUGAGCUAGCACUGCCGUAAGUUAUACAUGUGCUUGCGGUUCUUCUAAAUAUCCAGCGAAAUUAAUGAAUAAAUUUGUGGUCAUUAUUACUGAAUCAAAGGGACUGGCCAAAAACUGCAGGAAGAUGUGAACAUCAUGAAGGAUAUUGGAAUGGAUGCGUACAGGUUCUCCAUCUCAUGGACAAGUAUUCUUCCAAGUACUUGAAAUAUCUUCAGAAUGGAUACAAUUGCAACGUCCUCAAAGCCGUGUUCUCUUUUCUGUAUUGUCAAGUAGAAAAUUUUCAUUCUUGAUUCAUGGUUAACAAUAUGAAUGGUCAUUCUACCAAAAUUCGCAGAAUUUUCUUAUUAUAAGCCAACAUACUCCCUCUCUAUUUUUAAAUAUUUGAUGUUAAAGACAUGCUAGAUAGUUCAUAACAUCAUAUCUUUAAGUCUGAUUGGAUGACAGAUGCAAGUUUGAGUGGUGGAGUUAACAGGGAAGGAGUCAAUUAUUACAACAAUUUGAUUAAUGAGCUCUUGUCCAAAGGUAGGUAUUUCAAAUCUUCAGUAUAAUAUAUAUUGAUUCUUUUGCUUUGCAAUAGUUUCAAAGUUGAAUGGAGCACUACAUGUUCAUUGUUAUUCAAGGGGCAUUAUUAUCCACUAGAGAAAUAUUUAUUUGUUUGCAGGUUUGCAGCCAUUUGUGACUAUUUCCACUGGGACUCAUCUCAGGCAUUAGAAGACAAAUACAAAGGGUUUCUUAGUCCUAAUAUAGUGUAAGUCAACUACAUUCAGUUUAGUCCUAAUUUUUUCCUCAAAACUGACGUUAUAAUAACGUGCAUUACUAUACUACUCUGUGAACUAAACGGACUAACAAACAGUAGUUGAGUAUGACAUGAUAAUUUUUUCACAAAUUUUGCAAAAUUUGAGCUGACUGCAGACUUUUCUAUCAUAAACAAACCGUGUCCAGCAUGGAUCCAUGAUUCUGCUUGACUGGACAGGUAUGAGUAGGGGGUUGGUUAUUUUGCUUGUUCGGAUGCUGAUGGGUGCAUAUGCAUCCAUGAUUCUGGAGCCACGCCAAUGGCUAGUUUAUAUAAUUUUAGAGUUGUCCUGAUCUUUAGAUGUGCCAACUUGCAGGCACCAUUCUGAGUUGACAUAUGCAGGGAGGCUAAGCUAGCUUCAGUGGUAAACAAUGUAUGAUGCACUGGCUCAUGAACAGAUUUAUGGGUGAUUUAUUUUCUGAAAAAAAUCUAUAAAUCUGUGCAUGAAGCCAAGCCAAAGUUCAGUGUCAAAUUUAUAUACAUCUAUUUGUUUUUUCCUUCCAUGAUCUUUAAAGAUACUACCAACUUAGAUAUAAACUAUAACCCAGCCAUGAUUGAUGAAGGAAAUCUCUAACCAAAAAAAAGUUUAUAAAACAUCAAACUCAAUAACACAUAGCUCUACGCCGUAAAAGAGCUAUCCUACAGCACCCAAAAAUACUGAAUAAAACACUUAGAUUUACUCAUCAGAUGUCCCAAUUUAGUAAAUCAUGUUUUAGUAAACCUCUUUGUAAAACCAGGUUUUACACGAUCCGACUUUCAUAGUCAACUUCUAGGAAACGUUAUUAUUAAAAAUCUCAGUUUCCAACUCGACAACUUAAAAUGCUGAAGAAUUGUUAUGCAUGGAAUCAAACUUUAUUAUUCCUUUUUUUAACUUGCACAGCUAGCUGACCUACUUGAACCACUUUCACAUCAGUAGUACAAGUACAAUGGAUGGAAAGUGGUACGAGUUCCCAACUCUUUUGAAAUUUCAGAAACAGGUCAAGAGAAAAAGAACGAGAAAUAGGGCGAACAAGUGUGCAAAAUUGUAGGGUAAAUAUUAAAUUAAGACAAUUUCUAUUUUGACUCUGAUGGAGUUGACGAUCUGGGGCAGUAAAUAAAAUAGGUCUAGUACUGGUACGACGCCUUAUUUAUUUGGACCAAACGUCUCAGUUUCUUUCUUUUUUGCAUGCAUCUCUCUCUAUAUAUAUUCUGUACAUGUUACAUGAAGAGAUAAUCUUGUGAUCCAAUCCAACCAAAUAUCAUUCCACUGACCGGCUUCCUGCCUAUAAAUAGUGUUGCCUCCCCAGCCGUAUGGGCACUAGAAACCCCUUAAGCUGCUAGUCUCUUCUUCUCUGCUCUUCCUACCUUCCUCUAGCUAUAGCAACACCUUGCCCACAUUCCAUGUCUCCCACGGGUGCUUCCGCUCUCAAGGUUGCGGCUAUCGCCGUCUGCCUCGGGCUGGUUCUAUCGUCCAUGAGGCAGCCAGUGUUCGCGCAAACCCAGUCCCAGCAGCAAGCUUGCACCACAACUUGCGCCAGCGCGUGCAAUAUUGUGGCGAAGGCAGCCUGCCCCGGCUUCUGCGCAGGCAACCCAACUCCCACUAAUCCGCUAGCUUGCAACGCCUGCAACACGACGGCCAAUGCAGAUUGCAACAAUCAGUGCGCCCCAGCCUGCUUCCUCAACCCAGAUCCCAACGCUUAAUGUUCAUCAUCCAUGUUCGUGCUGUUGCUUAAGAGCUAAUGUUUACUGAAUAAUUAAGCAUGCCGACUGGACUGCAUGUAUGUUGUGUUGCUUUCUAUUCUAUUUCCCUUGCAAAUGAUGUAAAGCCGUCGGCCUACUGGCUGGCUGGACUCAUGUAGAAAAUCGCUCCAUGUGAUUGGUGUUCCUUGGGCUUUGUUGAAUUGAAAUCAUGUUGCUAUGUGUUUCAGUAUUAA